GUGCACUAUGCACUUCCCUUCGAUGGUGUGUGCACUCUGCACAUCAAAGUGAUCUGACAAGAACAGCUCUUUGGCCCCAUGGAACUGUCUGCGACCACCAAUAGACUCCUCAGGUCGGUAAUACCAUCUAACUCUGACCUUCACAUUAUUCCGGUGAUCAGCCUCUAGCUUCUCUACUUUUGCCACGUAUGGAGGUUUAUCAGAAUCAGAUGGUCUCAUCAAUACACAAUCA
rnacentral:misc_RNA from 1 species